rnacentral:rRNA from 1 species
AACGAUUCUGGUUGAUACCGUCACGUAUGAACAGUUACUCUCAUACGUGUUCUUCUUUAACAACAGAGCUUUACGAGCCGAAACCCUUCUUCACUCACGCGGUGUUGCUCCAUCAGGCUUGCGCCCAUUGUGGAAGAUUCCCUACUGCUGCCUCCCGUAGGAGUAGGGGAAUCUUCCACAAUGGGCGCAGCCUGAUGGAGCAACACCCGGGGGUGAAGAGGGUUUCGGCUCCUAAAGCUUCUUGUUAAAGAAAAAACGUAAGAGAGUAACUGUGGUCACUUUUACAGGGUUUUAACGAAAGUGGGCGGAUACCUGCCGCGCCCGGGUAAUUUAAA